UACGGGGGGGGCAAGCGUUGUUCGGAAUUACUGGGCGUAAAGGGCCAGUAGGCGGCCAACUAAGUCGGAUGUGAAAUCCCCAGGCUCAACUUGGGAACUGCAUCCGAUACUGGAUGGCUUGAAUUCGGGAGAGGGAUGCAGAGUUCCAGGUGUAGCGGUGAAAUGCGUAGAUAUCUGGAGGAACACCGGUGGCGAAGGCGGCGUCCUGGACCAACACUGACACUGAUGAGCGAAAGCCAGGGGAGCAAACGGG
rnacentral:rRNA from 1 species